GGGUAAGUACAGUUAAGAAAAGUUUUUACUCCCACUUUGAAGUCAAUAUUUUAACAAAGUUGAAAACUCCGUAAUGUCUCCUGCUGUUUGAAUAUGUAGACAAGCUGGACUCUCUUCUCUUGGCGUAUGUCUUACAUGGAGCAGUCGCAUUCAAUACAAUCCUGAUUGUAUUUCUAAUUUCCUCAAUGAGUUUGAAGAAGAUAAAACACUGUCUCUGCACAGAAUCUCACAGAAGAUUUUCAGAUCUCACCAUGACAAAUGAAACGGGCUACGAAAGUGUUUUAAGGGCGAACAAGAUCAACAACACAGGAAGACAGGAGGAUGACACCUGGAGUGAAUGUGUUUACUUCAGUGUAAAUUAGUAAAACUAAUGUUUCAUCUGUAUUUAACAGAACAAGAGAUCAUGCUUUCUCAUUUUAAAGUAUAUCAUGGUAAAGUUUUCAAACAUCUGUGAUGACUGUAGAGUUUUGCGUCAAAAAAUUAUUAAACAAACCUUUCAAAAAAAAUGAACACAAGUGGAUUUCUGAUAUACACUCACUUGUCAGUUGGAGACAGCUUUUUGCCUUCAGAGCUGCCUUUAACCUUACGUGCUGUUUAUAUUCUAGGCCUUCACAAGACUCAUAAAUGUAUACAACAGAUUUUGAGCUACAGAUCAAUUAAAAUGUAUAAAUACCCUGUCUGACAUGAAUAAAUGUAUGAUUAAUCCUAGUGUGUGGUGACUUUUACAGAAAGCUAAGCAUGGCGAUUACAGCCGAACCACCACUGACCGCUUUCAUGAGCUCAGAAACACAGACCUGGAUUUUGAGUUUAUUAAAAUAUAUAAAUAACAACAAAAUCAGCUGAAUGAAAUGGUUUGAACAGUGUGUGAUGGA